AUACGGAGGGUGCAAGCGUUAUUCGGAAUCACUGGGCGUAAAGGACGCGUAGGCGGGUUGGCAAGUCAGAUGUGAAAUCCUACAGCUUAACUGUAGAACUGCAUUUGAAACUGCUAACCUAGAGUAUGGGAGGGGGAGAUGGAAUUAGUGGUGUAGGGGUAAAAUCCGUAGAUAUCACUAGGGAUACCGAAAGCGAAGGCGAUCUCCUGGAACAUAACUGACGCUAAGGCGUGAAAGCGUGGGGAGCAAACAGGAUUAGAAACCCUAGUAGUCC
rnacentral:rRNA from 1 species